AUCUGGAGUGCAUCCAUGAGCAGAGAAAAAUGACCAAGACAUUCUCCGAAGCAGGCUAGGACCCUGACUAAGCCCUGCCACGUUUUCCUGCAUGACUUCUCAUCAUUGCGGUUAAUACCAGAUACUUCAGCUAUCUUCUUAUUUAUUGUCCGCCACACUCCAUUUGAAUACAAGCUCCCUGAAAGCAAAGAAUUUAUUUUGGCUUCGUUCUGAAUGCCCAGCCCUCAGGACAAGGAAAGCCUAUACGAACACACAGUGAGGAGGCAGCUAUCUACAAGCCAAGAAACAAGUCCUCACCAGGAACCCGAUUUGCUGGCACCUUGACCUUGGACUUUCCAGGCACUAGAACUCUUGAGAAAUAAACGUGUGC